GCUACUGAAGACAUCAGCUCUCUAUGACAAAACAGCACAGCAUGUUUGGAGUAAGAGAAAGCUGAAGUCUCAACAAACAAAUAGAUUCUUAAUGUUCUAUACCACCGGACAAACUGCAGCCCUUUUAUACAUAUGGAGUACUUUCUGGGCCAGUCCUGUGGCCCCUUUCAAAUGUAUGGUGUUGAAACGUAGUAAGUUUAUGUUUUUAAGGUCUGCCCCUCCCUUCUUGCAUUAUAUCAUAAACUCUUCUCUUUUUUUUUUUUUUUGAGACGGAGUCCCGCUCUGUCACGCAGGCUGCCAGGCUGGCGUACAGUGGCGCAAUCUCAGCUCGCUGCAACCUCCACCUCCUGGGUUCAAGCGAUUUUCUUGCCUCUGCCUCCUGAGUAGCUGGGAUUACUGGCACACACCACCAUGCACAGUUCCUUGUUCAAAAUGCCAAGAACCUGGAUGACUCAUAGUCAAGACCCUCCACCAGUAACAUAUAUUGGCGAGCCAGCCAGGAGACCACUACAGGAAACACUCCAUUUAUUCCACCUGACUUCCCACUUGGCUGCAUCCUCAACCAUUGAAAUGAAUUUGACCCUGAUAAUCUAAGGAGGAAACAUUUGAUAUUCUUUUGCAAUAAUACUUGGCCCCAGUAUUGUUUGGAAUCUGGAGUUUGCUGUUGAAUGGGAAAGCAGGAUGACGUUGCAUGUAUCCAGGCUUUGGUGCUGCUGUCCUAAGAAGGGUCAGGCCUAGUCAGCAUAUGGUGCUCUCCUUUGGUGCUAUUUGGCUCCAGUGUCUUUGGAGUCUGAGGAGGUUUGGCCUUUAAAAAUCAAACUGCCACCGGAACUGCUUUAAAAAUGUUUGGUUCACAGCCUUCACUGGAUUACCUAUUGGAGCAAACAAAGUGUAACCAUGUAAAACCUGUGAGCUUGUAUUGAUAUCUCAUGGCUAGAGUUCCAAGGUAAAAGCUAUUGGAUCUUCGUUUGUGUGUGUGUAUACAUGUCUAGAUGUGUUUAUUUGUAUGUACACUUAUUGUUAUAUGUUGUGUCAACCAAAUCAGCUUAUAAAUAAAAAAGCACUCAUAAAU
rnacentral:lncRNA from 1 species